ACUUUAGAUAUGAUCCAGAGUACCACGGACACGUGAAACCCUGUGGGAAGCAGGAGGGACCACCCUCCAAGGCUAAAUACUACCUAGUGACCGAUAGCGUAUAGUACCGUGAGGGAAAGGGGAAAAGAACCCCGGGAGGGGAGUGAAAUAGAACCUGAAACCCUGCACUUACAAGCUGUGGAAGCACAUUUCUUGUGUGACCGCGUACUUUUUGUAGAACGGGCCAACGAGUUACGUUAAGUAGCAAG
rnacentral:rRNA from 1 species